AAUGAACGCUGGCGGCGUGCUUAACACAUGCAAGUCGUGCGCGAAGGUGGCUUCGGCUGCCGGAGAGCGGCGAACGGGUGAGUAACACGUGGGUAAUCUGCCUGGGAGCGGGGGAUAACCUGGGGAAACUCGGGCUAAUACCGCAUACGUUGGCUGGGAUGCGUCCUGGUCAGGAAAGCUGGCCUCUGCUUGCAAGCUAGCGCUCCCAGAGGAGCCCGCGGCUGAUUAGCUAGUUGGUGGGGUAAAAGCCCACCAAGGCGACGAUCAGUA
rnacentral:rRNA from 1 species